rnacentral:rRNA from 1 species
GCAUAUCAAUAAGCGGAGGAAAAGAAAAUAACAAUGAUUCCUCUAGUAACUGCGAGUGAAGAGGGAAAAGCUCAAAUUUUAAAUCUGUUAGGUUUACCUAACCGAGUUGUAAUUUGAAGAAGCGUUUUCUGCGAAUUUGGUUAGUCCAAAUCCUUUGGAAUAAGGUAUCAUGGAGGGUGAGAAUCCCGUUCGGUUAACCAAAGCGCUUUACGAUACGCUUUCAAAGAGUCAAGUUGUUUGGGAUUGCAGCUUAAAAUGGGAGGUAAAUUUCUCCUAAGGCUAAAUAUUGGCGAGAGACCGAUAGCGAACAAGUACCGUGAGGGAAAGAUGAAAAGAACUUUGAAAAGAGAGUUAAACAGUACGUGAAAUUGUUGAAAGGGAAACGAUUAAAGUCAGUCGUACCUACGAGUAAUCAACCUACUCGAGUGCGAUUUUGUGUGUAUGUUUGAGCUUAAAAACCUUCAUGCUUACAAAUUGGUGUUCUUUGGGCGUACUUUCUCGUAUGGUAGGUUAACAUCAAUUUCGACCGUUAUAAAAUGACUGGAGGAAUGUGGCUUCGACCUCGGUUGAAGUGUUAUAGCCUUUGGUAGAUGUAAUGAUUGGGAUUGAGGAUUGCAACGGAUACCCUCUGGGCUAUUCGUCUGAUCUCUGGAAGUUACCUUGGUGUCGAAAGCGUGCUUACGAUAUUAAGGUUGACGGCCAAUAGGUUAGAACGUGAUUAAAUUCGUUAAGGAUGUUGACGUAAUGGCUUUAAACGAC